UGGGGCGGGAAGCCGCGGGGAGGGCGGCGUGGCCUUGGCCUCCGCGCCUAGUCCGCCGAGCGGGGCCCGAGACCAGCUCUCUCCCCAGGGAGCCCACCGAGCGCACCGGGCGUCCUGGGGUGCCAGGCCCGGGCCGCCUCGCCGGGGAGGGCGGAACGGCCCUUACCCCCAUGGCGCUUACAGUCGAGACAGACGGCAAACGAGUCGCACAGACACACGAAGCGGUUGUGGGGAGGUGCAGCCGAGGAGCGAGGAAGUUGAUUAUGGAAGAUUCCCACAAGAGUAACACUUCAGAGACAGCACCUCAACCUGGUUCAACAGUUCAGGGAGCUCAUAUUUCUCAUAUUGCUCAACAGAUGUCAUUAAGAGGAUCUGCGCCAGUGACAAUUGUACCUCUUCCUGGAGAGCAAGUACAGGUUCAGGGGGUCAUCCAGACAGCUCAGUCUUCUGUAAUUCACCCACCACACGUGCAAACGGUAUCAUCUUUAUCAGAAAGUGAGGAGUCGCAGGACUCAUCUGACAGUAUAGGCUCCUCACAGAAAGCCCACGGGAUUCUAGCACGGCGCCCAUCUUACAGAAAAAUUUUAAAAGACCUAUCUUCUGAAGACACACGGGGCAGAAAAGGAGACGGAGAAAACCCUGGAGUUUCGGCUGUCACUUCUAUGUCUGUUCCAACUCCCAUCUAUCAGACUAGCACCGGACAGUACAUUGCCAUUGCCCCAAAUGGAGCCUUACAGCUGGCCAGUCCAGGCACAGAUGGAGUACAGGGACUUCAGACAUUAACCAUGACAAAUUCAGGCAGUACUCAGCAAGGUACAACAAUUCUCCAGUAUGCACAGACCUCUGAUGGACAGCAAAUACUUGUGCCCAGCAACCAGGUGGUUGUACAAACUGCAUCAGGUGAUAUGCAGACAUAUCAGAUCCGUACCACACCUUCAGCUACUUCACUGCCACAAACUGUGGUGAUGACAUCUCCUGUGACUCUUACAUCUCAGACAACUAAGACAGAUGACCCCCAAUUGAAAAGAGAAAUAAGGUUGAUGAAAAACAGAUACAAUGCAGUUCCAAUCAAAACCCAAACAGGUUGUUUGAAGAACUGACAAGUUGAUACUAAAAUUUAUAGAAGAGUAAAGGGCCAAGAACAGCCAAAAUAUUCCAGACAAGAAUAAGAGAAGCUGCUCGAGAAUGUCGCAGAAAGAAGAAAGAAUACGUGAAAUGCCUGGAAAAUCGAGUUGCAGUCCUGGAAAAUCAAAAUAAAACUCUAAUAGAAGAGUUAAAAACUUUGAAGGAUCUUUAUUCCCAUAAAAGUGUUUGAUUCUUAAGACAAAAUAUUUUUGUGGACUUGCCUAAAAAUUAGAUGGAUUUCUUUUCUUUUUAGUGGAGUUUUAUAAAUUAAAAGGUCAACAACGAAGCUUUUUAUUUAGCUUUUGCAACUCAAAGAUAUCUUAUGCAAGAGAUCUGGUGACAGAGGAUGAAGCGGAGAAUGACCUCAAGGAAGUUACUGGCGCAACUGGAAGCUCUGUAAAAAUUAAACGUACUCAAGAAGCAGGAAGUGAACUUUCACUAAUUGGAAUUUUCUAAUUAACAGUAGUUGUCAAUAACCCAAAAAUGGCAGAUAAGAUGAAAUUUGGUAAAUUGAAUUUUUAAAAAUAAAUCAAUUUACCCUGUAGGUUUGCAUUUCUUACUGUUUCCUAAAAUUUACCUUUUCAAUUUUGUGUGUGUGUGUGUGUGUAUUUUAUUUCUGCCAAUAAAUUCUAAAUUACAAAUAUAAAAGAAAAGCUAAUACAUAACUCAAUAUAUAAAUUAUGUGUUCUGAUUAUCUAUUCUUGUUUUAUUGUCAAGUCUUUUUAAAUGGGUUUUUAAAAGUUUGUUUAUUGGACUCGAGAGGGUUUUUGAGGCCUUGUCCUCAAGGCGUCUAAGGUACAUGAAUGGAGUGCGGUGAUUUCAUAACAUUUUUCAUCAGAAUGGAAAGAGAACUGUUUAAAAGUUUGAUACUUUUAAAUAGUUUGUUUUUUGGUUACUCUGGGAAUGGUGAUUUUCUACAGAUAUAAAUUGGUUUUUGAUUCUGUAAUUCUGUAUGCAGUUGAAUAUACAUUACUUACUCUGUUGUGCUUUAAUAGAAUGGAAUGUUUACAGGCCCUUGAGAUGAUAUUAGAGUAUUUUUCAAAAACCUUCUGAAAAGACACAUACCAAAGUUUUCCAAGAGGAUUUUAUAACUGAUUUAAUGUAAGGUUUAUCAGAUUCUAAAAUAGUACAGUUAAGGCAAUUUUCUGUUAGAGACUAUUUUGUAAUGUAGUGAAUGGUACAUUUAUAAGAAAAGUGACUGCCAAUAUAUUUUUAUAGUUAAUCUUUAUAAAUUCUAAAGUUGAGUUUUUAAUGAUUAUUUUAAAUGUUUAUAUAGUUUUAGUAAAAAAAAUAUUUUGCAUCUCUCAAAGUAUCAUUUUUAUAUUAUGGGAAGUAAAGUUUCCAGAUUGGCUAAUAUUUGAAUUGUAAGUUUUGUAUGCAGUUUAUCCAAAGUUCAGAAAUGCUGUCAGUACACCAGUGUUUAACCUCUGUAUUCCAAUUUGUAUACACUUUGUACUGCAAAACUGUUGUGCGCUUCUUAUACAAUAUGUAUCAUAUUGUCUAUGAAAUUAAAGAACAUUUGAUAAAAUUAA